AACCAAGGUGAUUCCCUCUCCAAGGGGCUGUUACUAGUGCCCCUCUUCAGGAAAGUAGCAACUUGGAAUAAAAUCUGGCGUGCCUCAGGUGUUCUGGGGAAAAGGGGAUGUGUUUCCUUUGCCUUCCUUUGGCUGCCUACAUGU
ensembl:snoRNA